GGGGAUGUAGCUCAGUGGUAGAGCGCAUGCUUCGCGUGUAUGAGGCCCUGGGUUCAAUCCCCGGCAACACCA
rnacentral:tRNA from 1 species